rnacentral:rRNA from 1 species
GAUGAACGCUGGCGGCGUGCCUAAUACAUGCCAGUCGAGCGAACGGACGAGAAGCUUGCUUCUCUGAUGUUAGCGGCGGACGGGUGAGUAACACGUGGAUAACCUACCUAUAAGUCUGGGAUAACUUCGGGAAACCGGAGCUAAUACCGGAUAAUAUUUUGAACCGCAUGGUUCAAAAGUGAAAGACGGUCUUGCUGUCACUUAUAGAUGGAUCCGCGCUGCAUUAGCUAGUUGGUAAGGUAACGGCUUACCAAGGCAACGAUGCAUAGCCGACCUGAGAGGGUGAUCGGCCACACUGGAACUGAGACACGGUCCAGACUCCUACGGGAGGCAGCAGUAGGGAAUCUUCCGCAAUGGGCGAAAGCCUGACGGAGCAACGCCGCGUGAGUGAUGAAGGUCUUCGGAUCGUAAAACUCUGUUAUUAGGGAAGAACAUAUGUGUAAGUAACUGUGCACAUCUUGACGGUACCUAAUCAGAAAGCCACGGCUAACUACGUG